GACGAACGCUGGCGGCGUGCUUAACACAUGCAAGUCGAACGAUGAAGAAGAGAAACGCGAACUUCGGUUCAAAUUUCACUUCGGAUUAGUGGCAGACGGGUGAGUAACGCGUGAGCAACCUACCUCUUACAAAGGGAUAGCCUCGGGAAACCGUGAUUAAUAUCAUAUGACACAUUCAUAAGGCAUCUUAAGAAUGUUAAAGCUACGGCGGUAAGAGAUGGGCUCGCGUCCCAUUAGCUAGUUGGUGAGGUAACGGCCCACCAAGGCGACGAUGGGUAACCGGCCUGAGAGGGUGAACGGUCACAUUGGAACUGAGACACGGUCCAAACUCCUACGGGAGGCAGCAGUGGGGAAUAUUGCACAAUGGAGGGAACUCUGAUGCAGCGACGCCGCGUGAGCGAUGAAGGAAUUCGUUUCGUAAAGCUCUGUUCUAUGGGAAGAAAAGGACUGUACCAUAGGAGAAAGCCCCGGCUAAAUACGUG
rnacentral:rRNA from 1 species